AGAUUCUGCUAGGGGAGCCGAGUUUGGCUGAGAGAGAUCAAAGAAGAUUGAUACCCUUUAAACCUGAUCCGGGUGAUGCCGGCGUAGGGAAGCGGUCCAAACCUAUU
rnacentral:ncRNA from 2 species